rnacentral:lncRNA from 1 species
CGGCAGGACCGAGCGCGGCAGGCGGCUGGCCCAGCGCACGCAGCGCGGCCCGAAGACGGGAGCAGGCGGCCGAGCACCGAGCGCUGGGCACCGGGCACCGAGCGGCGGCGGCACGCGAGGCCCGGCCCCGAGCAGCGCCCCCGCCCGCCGCGGCCUCCAGCCCGGCCCCGCCCAGCGCCGGCCCGCGGGGAUGCGGAGCGGCGGGCGCCGGAGGCCGCGGCCCGGCUAGGCCCGCGCUCGCGCCCGGACGCGGCGGCCCGUCUGGGGAGCAGGGAGGAGCCCUGUGCCCUGUCCCAGGAUCCAUGGGUAGGAACACCAUGGACAGGGAGAGCAAACGGGGCCAUCUGUCACCAGGGGCUUAGGGAAGGCCGAGCCAGCCUGGGUCAAAGAAGUCAAAGGGGCUGCCUG